AAAACAUAGCCUAUAGAAUAUUUUAUUGUAGGUUUAAUUUGCUCAGUGAAAUAAUUUUAAAUAGCCGCAGUACUUUGACUGUGCUAAGGUAGCAAAAUAAUUUGACUUUUAAUUGGGGCCCUGCAUGAAUGAGAAAAUGGUAAAGACUUGUCUCAAAAAUUAAUUUUUUAAUUUACUCAGUUGGUGAAAAUUCCAACUUUUUAAUAUUAGACGAGAAGACCCUUAGAAUUUUUAAAACAUUAUGAUAAAUAAAAGUAUUUUUUGUUGGGGCGACAAUAUAAACAAUAAAACUUAUAUAAAUUUAAGUACACAUCUAAUCUUCUUAUAAAUGAAUAUAAUUACCUAAGGGAUAACAGCAUAAUAAAGAGUUUUGAUUGUGACCUCGAUGUUGGAUUAGGUUAAAAAGUGGUUAGAAAUUACUUUUUUAUUUUCUGUUCGAAAAUUUUUUACCUACGUGAUCU
rnacentral:rRNA from 1 species